UACGUAGGGUGCGAGCGUUGUCCGGAAUUACUGGGCGUAAAGAGCUCGUAGGUGGUUUGUCGCGUUGUUCGUGAAAACCGGGGGCUCAACCCUCGGCGUGCGGGCGAUACGGGCAGACUUGAGUACUGCAGGGGAGACUGGAAUUCCUGGUGUAGCGGUGGAAUGCGCAGAUAUCAGGAGGAACACCAAUGGCGAAGGCAGCUCGCUGGGACGGUACUGACGCUGAGGCGCGAAAGCGUGGGGAGCAAACAGG
rnacentral:rRNA from 1 species